GAUGAACGCUGGCGGCGUGCCUAAUACAUGCAAGUCGAGCGAACGGACGAGAAGCUUGCUCCUCUGAUGUUAGCGGCGGACGGGUGAGUAACACGUGGAUAACCUACCUAUAAUACUGGGAUAACUUCGGGAAACCGGAUCUAAUACCGGAUAAUAUUUUGAACCGCAUGGUUCAAAAGUGAAAGACGGUCUUGCUGUCACUUAUAGAUGGAUCCGCGCUGGAUUAGCUAGUUGGUAAGGUAACGGCUUACCAAGGCAACGAUGCAUAGCCGACCUGAGAGGGUGAUCGGCCACACUGGAACUGAGACACGGUCCAGACUCCUACGGGAGGCAGCAGUAGGGAAUCUUCCGCAAUGGGCGAAAGCCUGACGGAGCAACGCCGCGUGAGUGAUGAAGGUCUUCGGAUCGUAAAACUCUGUUAUUAGGGAAGAACAUAUGUGUAAGUAACUGUGCACGUCUUGACGGUACCUAAUCAGAAAGCCACGGCUAACUACGUG
rnacentral:rRNA from 1 species